UGGGGAAUAUUGGACAAUGGGCGCAAGCCUGAUCCAGCAAUGCCGCGUGUGUGAAGAAGGCCUUCGGGUUGUAAAGCACUUUUAUCAGGAGCGAAAUACUACCGGCUAAUAUCCGGUGGGGCUGACGGUACCUGAGGAAUAAGCACCGGCUAACUUCGUGCCAGCAGCCGCGGUAAUACGAAGGGUGCAAGCGUUAAUCGGAAUUACUGGGCGUAAAGCGUGCGUAGGCGGUUUGUUAAGUCUGCUGUGAAAUCCCCGGGCUCAACCUGGGAAUGGCAGUGGAUACUGGCAAACUAUGGUGUGUCAGAGGAUGGUGGAAUUCCCGGUGUAGCGGUGAAAUGCGUAGAGAUCGGGAGGAACAUCAGUGGCGAAGGCGGCCAUCUGGGACAACACUGACGCUGAGGCACGAAAGCGUGGGGAGCAAACA
rnacentral:rRNA from 1 species